rnacentral:lncRNA from 1 species
AUCCAGGCCCCAGGCCUCUGUGCUGCAAAGUCCAACCGGGGGGACUCUGUGAAUGCUGGGAUGAUUAACGCAAGCUGGCUGCAAGAAGGAGACCCCCAGGAUGAGGGAUGCCACUGGAUCUGAGAUUGCCCUGGGACUCAGGAUUUUUCCCACACAGGGAGAUCAUCAGAGAGAAACCUCCUCUUUGCGUCAACUACAAUCACAGACAACUUUUUCAUUAUAUGACACAUAGACAUGGUAUGCUUGCAGCCAUAAUGACAUAUAAUCCCUAAAACAUUUUUAUGAGGUGAGUGGUAUUAGCCUCACUUUACAGGAAAUGAAUGAAACCUAGGCUCAGAGAUAGGCUGGAGGCCACACAGCACUGAGGGAUGAUCUGCCUCCAGAAGAAAAGAAUUUCCACUACUCCAUGGGAGAAAAGGCAAAUUUGUCUGAGUGCAAACUCACAUCAUAUCAGCCUCUCUGACCCACUCAGGACUGCUUCCCAGUCAAUGGUCAAGGAAACAGGCAGGAGCCUCCACCUCCUACAUCUACCCCACGCCUGCCUUAAAUAUUCUCAGGAAGCCAAGAAUUCACUUCCCUUCCCUCCACCCAGGCAGGCAGGGCCUAUAUUGGGCUGGAAUGCGAAGGUAGCCAGGGAAACAGAGCCCAUGGCUAGACGUUAUCAAGGGCCUGCGGCCUGCAUGGCUCCUUAAGAGAAACAGGAUGGGUGGAAGAUGUUCAUUAUUCAGAUCCUCAUUAACAAAAUUAUACUUACCUUGAACCUGCUCCUGCAGAAAACAGACUGGGAUGGAGUCCAUUGCCUCACCUUUCCCCAAGCAAUGAUGCUCAAAUGGAGGUGGCAGGCCUCCUCUCUGUCUCAUUCCCCAUCUCUCUAUUCCAAUCCCGCUCUUACUAUGUGAAUAAAAGAUGGCCUCAUCUAAAAAGAAAGAAAAGAACAAGCUUAGGGAAGAAAAUAUCUAAAAUAAAAGGAUUCAUCCCAGCAAGAAUACCUGGAAGCCUCAUGGCUAGCAAUGCUUUAAAGAGAAACAAACUUUUAUUAUUCAGUUAACAAAUGAAAGCUUUAAGUCUUAGCAAUGUACUGGCCAGGAGGGAAUGUGAAGAUGAAGAAGAUACUUUGCUUGUCCUUAAAGAGUCCUACUGGGUGUUUCUCAGUGCCUUCCAGGGACAGUUGCUGCACACUCAUCACACACUGACACGCGCCCUCUGCCUUGACUGUUAGAACUGGAGCCAGAAACACAAAUAUGUGGAUUCUGGAACUGGAGUCAGAAAAAAAUGUGGAAUACAGAAUUCUCACAAGGCCCCUUUUGGCGUUAUUCUCUAAGCCAACAUGGCACCAAAUUCCUGGAAACUGCUCCAGAGUACCUUCUCCUACACCCUUACUUAAUUUGCCAAAACCCUGUGGCACAUCAGAAUCUGCCAUGGGGUUUUGCAGAGGCUGAGUAGUGGGCUGAACUCCCCAUUGCACUCUGACCAGAUAGUACAGCCCCUUCUUCAUCUAUCAGUUAGACUCAGAAAGCCGUCAUGUUGAAUUUGGAGGAACGGUUUUCCCCUGGCAAAAUAGAAACCACUUUUGAAAACCACUGAAGAGGUUAUCUGAGCUAUUUUCCAGCUCUGAUAUUUAGUGACAUAGGAUUGUUUUCUGUGAUUAAAAGUCCACUUGUGUAGGGUCAGUGCUCACCGACAGAUUUUCCCAAAACUCUCCUUACCUCCUGCAGGAGAUUGUCAUCAUUGAAGGAAAAUAGCAGAGCCAAGCCCCUCAGUUGCCCGGACCCAUGUAACUGACAGUGGCUGACUCAUUCAACAAAUAUUUACUGAGAACUGCAGCAUGACAGCAGUGUGCCAGCUGUUGACUUCGUGAGAAUUGAGAAUCGGCUCCAUGGAAACUCCCCACAGCCCGGGGCUUAACAGCACUUUAGGUCAGGUUGACCUGGUCUCCAGCCUGGGCUCAUUGUCUGUGCAACCACUGAAGGUUGCUCACUCAUUCUGAGCCUCAGUCUCCUUGUCGGUAAGAAUAAUGUUGUGAAGAUCCAUGACAGUCUUACUGAGUAGCGUAGUGAGUGUGAAAACACAUAGCACAUACUAAAUGCUCAAAAAAAUGUCAUGAUGACUACUGUCAUAAAGUUCAGUUGCUUACUAUCUCUCCCCAGAACUAUCUCAACUCUCUAUAAACUGGUAUCUCUGACUUCCGUUAUCACCCUUCCCCUUCAUCUUCUGAUUGGGCCAGAGGGAUGGCUCUUCAUUCUUACUCAUGCUUGAAGGCCAAAUUCAAAUGUCAUCCCUUCUGCUAAGGCAUUCUUAAUUCUAAGACGCAAAAUUAAACUUUGAGAUUCCCAGUGCAUACUUCUGUUUUUUCCGUUAUAGC